rnacentral:rRNA from 1 species
UGAGGAAUAUUGGUCAAUGGGCGGGAGCCUGAACCAGCCAAGUCGCGUGAGGGAAGACGGCCCUACGGGUUGUAAACCUCUUUUGCCGGGGAGCAAAGAAGCCACGAGUGACUUUUUGAGAGUACCCGGAGAAAAAGCAUCGGCUAACUCCGUGCCAGCAGCCGCGGUAAUACGGAGGAUGCGAGCGUUAUCCGGAUUUAUUGGGUUUAAAGGGUGCGUAGGCGGCGCGACAAGUCAGCGGUAAAAAAUUCGGGGCUCAAACCCCGCUCCGGCCCGGUUGCAAAUCUGUCAGUGCUCGAGUGGAGCGAGAAGUAUGCGGAAUGCGAGGUGUAGCGGUGAAAUGCAUAGAUAUCACGCAGAACUCCGAUUGCGAAGGCAGCAUACCGGCGCUCAACUGACGCUGAGGCACGAAAGCGUGGGGAUCAAACAGGAUUAGAUACC